CAGAUACGGGACCUUCGAGGGCUUCGAGGGCUUCGAGGACUCCUCAAAAGAUCGAACGACGCGAGAGAAAAAGAGAUAUAUUCGUCAUUGCUGUAGUAUUCGAAAUUGAUACAUCUCGAAAUUUGAAUCGAGAUACGUAAUUGCGAAAAAAGAUUAAUUAAUUACAAAUGAAAGAGGAUGCUAUCACAUGACAAUUGGAAUUUCGGAAAAGUCACACGACCAACCAGAAUCAUUUAGAUUUAACACAUUAUACAAACAAAUGAUUCUGAAUCGUCGUUAUUACUUUUCUGAAAUUCCGAUUGUCAUGGGGAAGCACUUUAAGACAUAUAAGAAGUACUUACAUACGAGAUAAAGGUAAAGAAAAUCGCCUCAGUCUGCCAUAGCGAUAAAGAAUGUGCUCUCUUUAUUAAAUUUUCGUUUUUUAUAACUACACAGAAAUGAAUAACAUACGGAAUAAUUAAACGACUGUACAAACGCGCGAAAACAAUUUCAAGUUUGCGUUGCUGUAUUCAUAUUCAUAACAUAUUCAUAAGCAACAUGACGGGACGCAUUCACGCAUCGCGAGGUCUGGAAUGAAGUUGCGCGCGGAACUUCCGCCCCCGUUGCUCUCAUGAUUGCUCUCGCAUUCAAGCGCGGGCACGUUUCCAAAAUUUAAAUGUCUGGAUCAAGAAUGAAAUGUAAGUGGCAUGAAAUUAAACGCUUACGGAGGGACAGGGUUAAAAAAAAAGUCUUUGGCAGUUGGUUUUAAUGAAUUCGUUUCCUUCUCUCAUUUAUUGAGGAUAACUUUUUGAAUGUCACCUUAGGCAAACUUGGCCCGAUUCAGCCGGGUCCCCCGGAUCGCGCCGCCAACUUCAACCCGCGACCUAUUUGCGGAUAGCUUCGAGUCACGAGACAUGUGUCUCUAGAAUAAAUUAAAAAAGGAAAUGAAAAAAAAAUAGAUAGGAAAGAAAGAAAAAUACGAAGCGGAAGGUGAGUUCAUCGGUUAGGAGGCGAGUCUCGAAGGCCUCUAUUCAAUCGCCGCAGACGAAUUACGCGAAUCAUUCCUUCACGCUACAGACGUCCUUCUCAUGCCGAAUACAAUACAUUCUUCAACGCGAUUAUACAUCGUAUGAUACUUCGACGGAGGGAAUUUACACUCUGACGAAAAUAAAGACGUGGAGUGUAAGUCUGGUGUAAAGAAAGAGAACAUAAAUGAAACUUCUGGGAAGCAUAAAUUAGAAUAGCGUUAAAAAAAAGUGUUUUAAAAGUUAAAUUCCUUUUAGGAUAAGAUGGUACAAUUUCAAACGUAGUACAAUUCUGAAUGAAAUAAAAUUUGAAUCCAACUUUUGAGAUUUAAGUUUGGUAAUUCUUUCAUUGUAUGGAAGGUACUGAAGGAUAUUAAACAGGAAAAGAUUAAUCUUGAACCUCAAAAAUUAAAUUCAAAUCUUAUUUCGUGCAAAAUUGUACCACAUUCGAAAUUGUACAACCUUAUCCGUCGUUUUAAUUUAUGCUUCCUAAAAAUUCCUGUCGCUCUUCCCUUAUAUUCGAAACUCUAAUCUUUUAAUUUCGCCAUGAGAUACCCCAGAAUAUUCAUUAGUAUAAGUGUGUCAUGUUCAUAAUCUCUUAUUUUGUCCUUCAGGCAAUGAAACGCGGUGAAGGACGUGUGGCGUAAAUCUGAAGGACACGUUUCCUCGCUGCGACGACAGAAAUGACCUCAAAGAACAGCCUUGAGCACAAGGGAGAAGCUUUUUCGGGCGCGACCGGGGAAUAUUUGCAAGAUUACGUGAGAGCGGUAGUUUACAUUACUUCCUUUCCUUCUCUUUCUCUCUCUCUCUCUCUCUCUCUCUCUCUCUCUCACACUUUUUCUCUUCGUCUCUCGCUGUGUAAACGUCGGCUAUUAUUUCUCUAAAUCCUUACAAACUAGAAUUAUUAUGUACAGCAUUGUGGACACGAUUUCCGACUUUCACUUAUUGUUAAUCGGCCAUUCCUCCUAGGAGCACGAUUAGCACACGGGCUUACUCGUCUCAUCGGCGCAUCGCACGAUAUAUGAUAAGUCAACGACGGAGGAAGCUUUCCUCCCUUUUUCUUAACGACAAUCGUUCGGACGUUACUUUAUGAUUUUGGACAAGAGCCAUUGUGAAGAGCAUGUGGAUGUUAACUGAUUAGAUGCACACUAAUUAAUAUUGAUUGAAAAUAUAUCAAUGUUUCCUUUUUCAAUUUUAAAGCAAAGAAAGAUUCAUAGGAAUGUAAGAGUUGACUUAUUUGCAAUUUCUGAUUCUGUAACGAAUCAGAAAAACUCCCACUAGGAUAAUCACUUGAUUACGUAUUACCUUUUUUACAUACAAGAUUGUAAAUACGUAAAAAAGAAUAUUGUUUUUACUGAGCUCUAUUCAACGGCUCUAAUUGUCCCUCGCAAUAUAAUUGCGCUAAUUACAUGUGUAGGCGAAAAACGCCUACCUUGUGUGCAGUUGAAAAAUGAAAACGUUUUUACUGAAAGAAGACUGUCCCUCCACAUAAGUAAAUUCGCAAACGCAAUAGCCAAUUAAAAACGAUCAAUAUCAUUGAUGAUUUCUGAUUGACUGCUGCGUUUGCAAAUAACGUUUUACGAUUGUGACUUAUGUAAAAAGAUUUUUAAACGAAAUCUAAUUUUGUUUUUUCUUUUUUCUCUAUCUUUCUUUUCUUCUUUUAGUUUCUCCUUUUCUCAACUACAAGGCUUGAUCAUUACACGAAAAUGAACAUCGACGUGAUAAAAUAGACAAGCCACUCCAUUCUCUCUUUCUUUUUCUUCUACAAUAAGAAUUAAAAAUAUUCCUGCCGUAUCGUGAGAGAACGUGCAGCAUCGCAAUUUUAUCGCGUCGGAUAAUUCGAUCGCAGUUCAAUUGUACGAAUACAUAACGUCGAAAAACAUUUUCACAACAAUAUAAUGUGAUCUUUGCAACUAUAUUAUAUGAUCGUCGUUAGAUUUGUUAUACACACGCGUAUACGAUGUCGACACACGCACGUUACAAAAAAAAGAGAUGGCAGACGUGUCAUUGCGCAUACAUAAAUCUCAUUUUCGCAAUAGAGCGAUACGAAUAUCCUAAUAACAAGAUUAAUUCAAUUUACUAAGUCAAUAUUUCUACGCUUCUCUCUCUCUCUCCCUCUCUCUCUCUCUCUCUCUCUCUCAAUUUUUUGCAAAUUCCAUUAAUUGUUGACUACUCUCUAUAGCGAGAGAUGCGACACUUCUAAUCUCUUUCUUAUUUUUUCUCUUAUUCCGUUGUCAUUGGACGAGAUAUAAAAACGUUCAAUUCGUAAUUCAUACUUAACACUUGUGGCAUACUUAAUUCAGGUUUAACUUAAGUUGAUCAUUAUCUUAAAAAAAGGGAAAAAAGAAGUAUGAUUGAGACAAUCAUCACUGAGCGAACACUUUGAUCCCACGUGGCAUCCACUGAACAAAGUACAAUUGGUGCGUAUUGUCGAACGAAAUGUUGUACAUGUGUAUUUAAUUGGACAUGGGUGAUUGCGCGCAAUCAUACAUCUUACAGAGGCAUCCGAUGCGCGUGUUUUAUGUCUGUAUGUUUAUGUCUGUGUGUUUUAUGUGUAUGGGUGCGUUAUACGCGCGUCUUUUGUACGCAUUCAACUAUGCAUAAGUCCGUGCACGCAGUAAUUAUUCUCAUUUGGUUUCUUUUGGCAUUACAAAAUAAUCUUAUUUACAGUCUGUUGAUAUAAUAUCAAUAUUCAUACUUCUUUAUACUAAAUUACGCGUAAUUAGAGCAUAUUAUAUUUAUUUACUAUAUUAUGCAGGUAGGGAACUAUUUACAGAAUAAUAAAAUGAUAAUAUAAAUAUACCGUUGGGUAUCGUCGAACAGAUAUUUUACUGCAUGUGUGUACGUGUAAGUGUAGAUUCGAGUGAGUGAGUGAGUGAGAGUGUGUGUGUGUGUGUGUGUGUGUGUGUGUGUGUGUGUGUGAGAAUAUGUCGUUUAUAUGCGUCUACUAUAUUUGCUUCUUCUCAAUUUGAAUCGAUCGUUUCGUUGUAGAGACAUUCGGUCGUGAAUUUAUCUCGUGGAACAAUCAGUAACAAGAAAAAAAAGCAUCGGUCAGUGUAAUUUUUGAUGGAGCGAAUCAUCGGAACUGGAGGAUUUGAGAAAUCUGUCAUUGUGAAAUAUGAAUGGAUAUCUCAUUUCUCUACAUAUUGCAUCGUUUCGUGAUGCGUGUAAAAAGAAACGAAAGAGAAAAUAUCAAUUAAAACACAGCCGGAAAUAAGGCAUUAAAUGCAUAACAUAUUCGAAGUUUGUCUCUUAAUUGUAAUAACAUAAUAGCCUACUUUAAUUAAAAAAAACCUAGAAUAAUUUGCAUACUAUGAUAGUAUGUUACAAGUAUGCAAUUUUUUACCUAACUAUAUCCCGAACGUUAAACGAUUCAUCUUUAUAUCGCUAUCGCGUAUUCGGGCUGUUAUAAUAAUCUACUUAAAAUUCUCAUUGGAUGUAGCUACUUAAAUUAAAUCCUGAUUUUGCCAAAUUUUUCUCUUCAACGAAUCAACCUCGACGGUCAAUUUACAGGCCAA